rnacentral:snoRNA from 1 species
AAACCAUGAUGAGGACACUCUGGGAGAAGAUCCUUAAAAUGUUCCAUACACCUAGAAAAUGAUUCAUUUGGGUUUUUGAUGAAACUGGAGAAUGUCGUUCCUAAGUUU